rnacentral:rRNA from 1 species
UACAGAGGGUGCGAGCGUUGUCCGGAAUCACUGGGCGUAAAGGGCGCGUAGGCGGCUUGAUAAGCGUGCGGUGAAAGCCCGGGCUCAACCCUGGGUCGGCCGUGCGAACUGUCGAGCUGGAGCACUGUAGAGGCAGGUGGAAUUCCGGGUGUAGCGGUGGAAUGCGUAGAGAUCCGGAAGAACACCGGUGGCGAAGGCGGCCUGCUGGGCAGUGGCUGACGCUGAGGCGCGACAGCGUGGGGAGCAAACAGG